UAUAUUGUGUAUGUUAACAGUCUGAUAUCCGUUGUUUGUCAGUGCUCCAUGAUAACGGCUUCUACAGGGAAUAUGGCCGAAGAGGUUUUUAAUGUCCUCAUUGUGCGUAAAAAAAAAAAAAAUCGGUUCAGGCACCGUUUAGGCACCGGUAUCGUUUUAAAAGUACCGGUUUAGCAUCGGUAUCGGAAAAAACCCAAACGAUACCCAUCCCUAAUUCUAGGUGGAAACGUCUGGUUUCUAAUGAAAUAUCUCCAUAGGUGCAGUGGUGUAUAGUAACGAAGUAGAAGUACUUCGUUACUUUACUUAAGUAGUUUUUUUGGGUAUCUGUACUUUAUUUUACUACUUAUAUUUCUGUUUACUUUUACUUUUACUUCACUCCAUUUUGCAAUGAAAACUUGUACUUUUACUCCGAUACAUUUCCCCUGAAACAGUAUCGUUACUCGUUACUACGGAAAAAAAAUAUCAUUAGACAAACAUCGGGGACUGUUGUGGAACACACCGCAGCGCACCUGAACGCAGCACGAGCACCAGGUUGGGGAUCAGUGGUCCUUGCCGCGUGUUUUCUCUUCCCAGUGAUGCCCAGGAUGCUAGCGAGCGAGCGGCUACAGAUACGACUCAUUUCAUGUGGAGCAGCAAUGGAAGCUACUCCAACAACCACGGGGACCAAGAUCAACAUCCGUGGCCAUGUUUGGGCGAACUCUUUUCUUUUGUCGGAGUGAAAGUUUCUUCCUACCGGAUGAAGUGCCUCUUAUGCUGACCGAAAGCUACGGAGAUAUGGCCUUCAACAACUCACCAACCUCAGGAAACACAUUGAGAGAUACAAGUACAUAUUCACAAAUCAACUCUGGAUGCACGGACAGUGCAUGAAACUAAAUGAAUGGACUACAUCAAGCAGCACAUGGAAGAACCCUCCCUGCAGCUAGGGGAUGCCACCAGGUCCAGUUCAUCUGAUGAAGAGGACUUCUUCUUCGUCAUCUCAAGCGCAUGACAGCAGCAAACAGCUGGAUGGAGACGUGGAUCACGUUGACUUGCUGAAAUGCUUCCCAACUGUGUGCUGCUGUCUGUGAAGCUAGACACACUCUACCUGCACCAGGGCCUG